rnacentral:rRNA from 1 species
GCUUGACUGUAUCCUGGAAUUGGGUUCGGGCUUUUCUUGCGCAGCCUAGGUGGGAGGCUAUGAAGAGACUCUUCCGGGGGUCUUAGAGCCAUCAUUGAGAGACCACUCUGGAAAAGCAUGAAUCCUAAUGGUGUUCUAUGAAGCUAGACAUUAGACAGUUUCAGGUGGGCAGUUUAUCUGGGGCGGAUGCCUCAUAAAAUGUAACUGAGGCGUGCAAAGGUUCUCUCAGCCCCGUUGGAAAUGGGGCCUUGAGUAUAAAGGCAAAAGGGAGCUUGACUGCAAGACCUACAAGUCGAGCAGGGGCGAAAGCCGGCCUUAGUGAUCCGACGGUGCCGUGUGGAAGGGCCGUCGCUCAACGGAUAAAAGUUACUCUAGGGUAAACAGGCUAAA